AAAACACUUGAUUUAUUUAUUCAUCUGUAAAAAGGAAAAAGAAAGCUAAUAUUCUCUUAUUUCCAGUAGAAAUGUGGUUUCGGGGUUUCCUUGUUUAACAGAUCACAAAAGAGUUGGCGAUAAAUGUAUACCAUGUAUCGGGUCAUUCGGCAGACAGUGCAUAAGACCUUGUCCUUCCGGCUGGUACGGAUUUGGAUGCCGGAAGAAAUGUUCUUGUCCUCAUUGUCACAGCAUUACUGGAUUCUGUAGUCAUG